GCUGGGUGUGGUGGCGUACACCUGUAAUCCCAGCUACUCAGGAGGCUAAGGCACGGGAAUCACUUGAACCCAGGAGGUGGAGGUUGUAGUGAGCCAAGAUCACACCACUGCACUCCAGCCUGGGUGACAGAGUGAGACUCCGCCUUAA
rnacentral:SRP_RNA from 1 species